rnacentral:misc_RNA from 1 species
GAAAUGCGAUAAGUAAUGUGAAUUGCAGAAUUCAGUGAAUCAUCGAAUCUUUGAACGCACAUUGCGCCCAUUAGUAUUCUAGUGGGCAUGCCUGUUCGAGCGUCAUUUCAACCCUCAAGCACUGCUUGGUGUUGGGGCGUCUGCAGCUCCGGCUGCAGGCCCUGAAAAACAGUGGCGGGCUCGCUAUAACUCCGAGCGUAGUAAUAUAUCCUCGCUUUGGAAGUGUAGCGGUUCCCGGCCGUUAAACCCCCCAAUUUCUGAAUGUUGACCUCGGAUCAGGUAGGAAUACCCGCUGAACUUAA